rnacentral:rRNA from 1 species
GACGAACGCUGGCGGCGUGCUUAACACAUGCAAGUCGAACGGACAGACAGAGAGCUUGCUCUCUUGAAGUUAGUGGCGAACGGGUGAGUAACGCGUAAUCAACCUGCCCUUCAGAGCGGGAUAACAACGGGAAACCGUUGCUAAUACCGCGUACGAUUCAUGAACGGCAUCGUUUAUGAAUGAAAGGUGGCCUCUAUGUAUAAGCUAUCGCUGAAGGAGGGGAUUGCGUCUGAUUAGCUAGUUGGAGGGGUAACGGCACACCAAGGCAAGGAUCAGUAGCCGGGCUGAGAGGAUGGACGGCCACAUGGGGACUGAGACACGGCCCAAACUCCUACGGGAGGCAGCAGUGGGGAAUCUUCCGCAAUGGACGAAAGUCUGACGGAGCAACGCCGCGUGAGUGAUGAAGGUCUUCGGAUUGUAAAGCUCUGUUAAUCGGGACGAAAGAGUUCUGCGUGAAUAAUGCAGAAAAGUGACGGUACCGGAAUAGAAAGCCACGGCUAACUACGUGCCAGCCGCCGCCGUAA